rfam:Tatumella ptyseos ATCC 33301 GTPT.assembly.029, whole genome shotgun sequence.
CCAUCAUCACCAUCACCCUGACUAGUCUUUCAGGCGAUGUGUGCUGGGAGACGAAAAGAUCUUCCAGUGGUUUGGACGCAUAAAAAAA